rnacentral:rRNA from 1 species
UACAGAGGUCUCAAGCGUUGUUCGGAUUCAUUGGGCGUAAAGGGUGCGUAGGCGGCGCGGUAAGUCGGGUGUGAAAUCUCGGAGCUUAACUCCGAAACUGCAUUCGAUACUGCCGUGCUUGAGGACUGGAGAGGAGACUGGAAUUUGACGGUGAGCGGUGAAAUGCGUAGAUAUCGUAAGGAAGACCAGUGGCGAAGGCGGGUCUCUGGACAGUUCCUGACGCUGAGGCACGAAGGUCAGGGGAGCAAACGGGG